UUGGCAGAACCACAUCUACCUGAUACCUGAGAUAAGGAUGACUCUGGGCACUGUGUUAACAAGAGACUGAAGGGGACAAGAGUAGAAAUGGAUAACCAGUUUGGAGUCUACUGUAGCAAUUCUGGUAACAGAUGAUGACGUCGGCCAGUAACAGCAGAAGUGAAAAUAUGUGGUAGAUUAUGGGUAUAUUGUGAGGAUAAAGAUAUUUUGCCCUUUUGGAAACUGAAGAUAAAACAGAAAAAGAAAAGAAUUUUAAGAUAUGUUAAUCUAGCAAAACUAACAUAAGAAUGGCCACCGUGAAUUUCAUGAAAUUUUGCCACAGAGCAAUACUAAAAACUGAAUGAUUGUGCCUUUUUCCAUAUUUUAAUUAAAACUGAAAUGAAAAUACUCACUGUCGGAA
rnacentral:lncRNA from 1 species